rnacentral:tRNA from 1 species
GCGCCGAUGGUUUAGUGGUAAAAUUCUCCGUUGCCAUCGGGAGCCGGGGGUUCGAUUCCCCUCGGCGCA